GGGGGCGAACUGGUUUCGACCGGAUAGGCGAAGCGGCAAGCGGCGUGUCGUGGUUGAUCAGUGGGCCACGUAAAAAGCUGAUCGCACCUUCAAUUGCCGAAGGUUCCUACGCUUUGGCUGCCUAAUUAAGGCAACCCGGGCUGCGGGCUGACGUCGGGUCGGCCCAAAAGCCCGUCAACAAUCCCGACUAGCCGCCAGUCACCGUCGGGCACGCUGGCGGCGAAAUUAAGUUCCUGACUAGCUCUGGCAGAGCCUUGUCGACGAGGCGCCGCCCGAGCGAAACCAAACUCGCCGACUACACACGUAGAAGCUUCCGUAGAGAUAUCCCGGGACGCGGGUUCGAUUCCCGCCGCCUCCACUU
rnacentral:tmRNA from 1 species